rnacentral:rRNA from 1 species
GACGAACGCUGGCGGCGUGCUUAACACAUGCAAGUCGAACGGAAAGGCCCUGCUUUUGUGGGGUGCUCGAGUGGCGAAAGGGUGAGUAACACGUGAGUAACCUGCCCUUGACUUUGGGAUAACUUCAGGAAACUGGGGCUAAUACCGGAUAGGAGCUCCUGCUGCAUGGUGGGGGUUGGAAAGUUUCGGCGGUUGGGGAUGGACUCGCGGCUUAUCAGCUUGUUGGUGGGGUAGUGGCUUACCAAGGCUUUGACGGGUAGCCGGCCUGAGAGGGUGACCGGCCACAUUGGGACUGAGGUACGGGCCAGACUCGUACGGGAGGCAGCAGUGGGGAAUAGUGCACAAUGGGGGGGAGGCUGAUGCAGCAACGCCGCGUGCGGGAUGACGGCCUUCGGGUUGUAAACCGCUUUCGCCUGUGACGAAGCGGGAGUGACGGUAAUGGGUAAAGAAGCACCGGCUAACUACGUG